UACGUAGGGGGCAAGCGUUGUCCGGAAUCAUUGGGCGUAAAGCGCGUGUAGGCGGCCAGGUAGGUCUGCUGUGAAAACUCGAGGCUCAACCUCGAGACGUCGGCGGAAACCAUCUGGCUAGAGUCCGGAAGAGGAGAGUGGAAUUCCUGGUGUAGCGGUGAAAUGCGCAGAUAUCAGGAAGAACACCCGUGGCGAAGGCGGCGAUCUGGGAAGAUACUGACGCUGAGGUGCGAAAGCGUGGGGAGCAAACAGG
rnacentral:rRNA from 1 species